UACGUAGGGGUCGAGCGUUGUCCGGAGUUACUGGGCGUAAAGCGUGCGCAGGUGGCUCAUUGCGCCCGGCGUGAAAGCCCCCGGCUCAACCGGGGAGGGUCGUCGGGGACGGGUGAGCUUGAGGGUAUCAGGGGCUGGUGGAACUCCCGGAGUAGUGGUGAAAUGCGUAGAGAUCGGGAAGAACACCCGUGGCGAAGGCGGCCAGCUGGGAUACACCUGACACUGAGGCACGAAGGCGUGGGGAGCGAACGGG
rnacentral:rRNA from 1 species